UGCAGCUACAUCAUGUUGAAACACCGGUUCCCGUACGACUAACGGAGUUAAGCAACGUCGAGCCUGGUCAACACUUUGAUGGGUAACCACCUGGGAAUCAAGGUGCUGUAAG